UACGUAGGGGGCUAGCGUUGUUCGGAAUUACUGGGCGUAAAGGGCGCGUAGGCGGCCUUCUAAGUCGAACGUGAAAUCCCCGGGCUCAACCCGGGAACUGCGUCCGAUACUGGAAGGCUUGAAUCCGGGAGAGGGAUGCGGAAUUCCAGGUGUAGCGGUGAAAUGCGUAGAUAUCUGGAGGAACACCGGUGGCGAAGGCGGCAUCCUGGACCGGUAUUGACGCUGAGGCGCGAAAGCCAGGGGAGCAAACGGG
rnacentral:rRNA from 1 species